rnacentral:rRNA from 1 species
GCCUACGGGGCGCAGCAGUGGGGGAUAUUGCACAAUGGGGGAAACCCUGAUGCAGCGACGCCGCGUGGGCGAAGAAGUAUUUCGGUAUGUAAAGCCCUAUCAGCAGGGAAGAAGAAUUGACGGUACCUGAGUAAGAAGCACCGGCUAAAUACGUGCCAGCAGCCGCGGUAAUACGUAUGGUGCAAGCGUUAUCCGGAUUUACUGGGUGUAAAGGGAGCGUAGACGGCCGUGCAAGCCAGGAGUGAAAGCCCGGGGCCCAACCCCGGGACUGCUCUUGGAACUGUGCGGCUAGAGUGCGGGAGGGG